rnacentral:misc_RNA from 1 species
GCUACACCCCGUGCAGCCACGCUCUCCUCUUCUCUCUCAGCUUCCAUUUCUCUGAAGCUGACAGAAAUAAAGAACACCACCCCCAACUGCAAAUGCGAAGCAACGCAAUAUUUUCAAGAAGAGUAAAAAUAAUCUUCAAAAAAAAACAAACCAGUAAACGAUAAUGGCGAUCUGCAAACGUUGCUGAUGAAAGAUUCCCUCUAAUUUUUUUUUUCCUUUCUAAAAGACUGUUCCUAUUUUUUUAAUGGGAUUAAGUAAAAAAAGAAUUCGGUUUGGUCUCUGCUGCUACACUGCCGAGCAAUUAAAAUAAAUAAAUGCUGUUUUUGAAAGUUAACAAAGCUUGUUAGACACUUUUUGUAAACUAAAGCUGACAACUUUGGCCUUUUCGUUGUCGUCUUCGUCAAGUUACUGAGGUUAGGGUAUAUUUCUUUUCUUAGCUCUUUUUACUUACUAGUAUUGUCAUACAGUGCGUGAUCAUUUUUGUGCGUGUUUGGCUGCCGAGAAUGUUUUGCUCAACUCAGUUGAGCUUAUUUUACUUCUUUUCAGUUUCUCUGGAAACAUAAGGGAAUUGCCUUUACUUCUUUAUUUUAUUUUGGUUGUUAUUUUCUGGGCAAUCUUUUCUGCUUGCGUUUGUUUGUUCCAUUCAAUUCAAAAUCUAUUAUUGUGAUUUUUCUUUCUUUAAUUUUCCUAAACUUUCUUUCUUUUCUGUGUUCUUCUUUGCAGUUGAAUUUUGAGUCUGCAAGUACACUUUUUUCUUUGUUAUGCUAGUACUCAUGUUUUAAUAUAAAUUCAUCUCCCUUAUGAUUUGCAAUUGCUCCUUUAUCCUUUUGCUUUUCUGAUAGUAAAUCGAAGAAGGAAAUUGAAGUUCUUUUCAAUAAGGGAGUGAUCUCUGUAUUAGUUGGUAGUCAGUGCCUUUUGUGGUAUGGAAUUCAGGUUUCAUUUUCAAAAAUUAUGCCAAAUUGAAACCCGGAGAUGGCUUCUUGUGGUGGGGGCAGUGGCUAUAACUCAUAUACUGUUUCAAUCUCUAUUGCUUCCGUAUGGAAAUGCUCUCAGGUCUUUAUUGCCCAAUAGCAAUGAUUUAACAUAUGAUAAAAGCAGCUUUCCAAUCAUACUAUCUUCUACAAAGUCUCUGAUGGUUCGUAAUCCUCUCGCCAUUGAUGCUUCAAGUUUGAGUAAAGGCUCCAUCCUUAAUGGUGUGGUGGUGAAAGAUGCUGCCACUGCCGGUAGAAGUGGAGAUGGUAGUCAUGACAGUGGAUUACAGAGAAACAGAGGAGACUCAGACAGUGAUUUUACAUCUGAGGACGAAGACCAGGAUAAUCCUAUUGAUCUUGCAGUAGAUAAUGAUGGAGAUAGUGUUGAUUUUGUAGAAGAGGGUAUGGACAAUCCUAUCGAGCUUGUUGUGGAUAGAAAUGUAAAUGAUUUCCCAUCUGGAAAUGUCAUGGAUAGCAAUGGGACUUCUUCAGUGGAAAGCAUCAAAAGUAAAGAAAGUAAUUCUUUAAUGGAAUUUAGUGGCAAGCGUGACCUUCCCAUUGAUCAAAAUGGAAAGUCAAAACAUGAAAUUUCAAUAGACAAUAAUCUGCCACAGAAAGAUUUGGGGCGCAUAAAAAUUGCUGUUAAAUCAUCUCCACUGGAAUCAGAGAUAGUAACUUCAUCAACAAACAUCAGUUACCCGAGAUCAAAUGGAAGUUCCUCUGUUGGUUCUGCUAUCCAGAAAAAUGGCUUUGCAACUUCAAAAAAUGAUUCUGCAAAGAUGGUUAACCCUGCAGGGAAAAAGAUGAAGUAUGAGAUGCCUCCAAAAUCAAUAACAUUGAUAGAUGAGAUGAACCAAAUAUUAGCCCGAAAUGGUCGGUCUACGCAUUCAAUGAGACCAAGAUGGUCCUCCCAUCGUGAUCAGGAGAUUUUGGCUGCAAGGUCACAGAUUGCGAAUGCUUCUGUUCCAUUGAAUGAUCGAGAUCUUUAUGCUCCUCUCUUUCGAAAUGUUUCCCAGUUUAAAAGGAGUUAUGAACUCAUGGAGCAUACACUCAAAGUCUAUAUCUAUAAGGAUGGAAAGAAACCCAUCUUUCAUCUACCAAUAUUGAAGGGAUUGUAUGCCUCGGAGGGAUGGUUUAUGAAACUGAUGCAGGGAAACAAGCAUUUUAUUGUGAAAGACCCUCGAAAGGCUCACCUGUUUUAUAUUCCAUUCAGCUCAAGAAUGCUUGAGUACUCCCUUUAUGUGCGUAACUCCCAUAAUAGGACAAAUCUACGCCAAUAUUUGAAGGAAUAUACAGAGAAAAUUGCAGCUAAAUAUCCUUACUGGAACAGAACUGAUGGAGCAGAUCAUUUUCUUGUAGCUUGCCAUGAUUGGGCUCCAUAUGAAACAAGGCCCCAUAUGGAGCAUUGCAUCAAAGCCCUCUGCAAUGCUGAUGUCACUUCAGGCUUCAAAAUAGGGAGGGAUGUGUCCCUUCCUGAAACACAUGUCCGGUCACUCAGAAAUCCUCUCAGAGAUCUUGGAGGAAAACCACCUUCUCAGAGGCACACUCUUGCCUUUUAUGCUGGUAAUAUGCAUGGCUAUCUGCGACCGAUCUUGUUGAAGUACUGGAAAGACAAAAACCCUUCGAUGAAGAUUUUUGGUCCUAUGCCUCCUGGUGUUGCAAGCAAAAUGAAUUACAUCCAACACAUGAAGAACAGCAAGUAUUGCAUUUGCCCUAAGGGUUACGAGGUCAAUAGCCCCAGAGUAGUUGAAGCCAUCUUUUAUGAAUGUGUACCUGUAAUUAUAUCAGAUAAUUUUGUGCCACCAUUUUUUGAAGUCUUCAAUUGGGGGGCAUUCUCUGUAAUCCUUGCAGAGAAAGAUAUUCCCAACCUGAAAGAAAUAUUACUUUCAAUACCAGAAAAGAAGUAUCUUGAGAUGCAACUUGGGGUCAAGAAGGUUCAGCGACAUUUUCUUUGGCAUGCCAACCCAGUGAAGUACGAUCUCUUUUACAUGACCCUUCAUUCUAUUUGGUAUAAUAGAGUUUAUCAGAUAAAACCAAGAUAAGAGCGCAUCAGUGAUCAAGGUGGUAGGAAACUGUGAAGAAUCCAUCCUAUUUCAUUUCCUGUCAAGCUGUAGAGACUUCCGGUUAAAUCUGAGAAACAUGUAAAAGCUCUUGUAUCAUAUCAUCUCGUGACGGUUUCUUUGUAUAAAACUGUUCUCGUCUUGUAAAACAAAAUUGUCCAAGGUUCUGGCAGACUUAGGGUUGGAAUUUCUUCAGCAAAAUAGUUAAGAAUCACUUUUUCUGAAUCAAUGAACUUUAGUAUACUAGUAUAUUCUCAAGUUCGAACUCCAAAC